AUCUCUAAGUUCCUCUUGUCCAUGGCAUUGUUAGUAAAUUAUAUAAAACACACAUAAAUUGUUCAACAAUCAGUAAAAUGAAACUAGAAAAUAGUGAGAAAAGGAAAUUUAAGAUUCAUAAUGUUGGAGGACAUGGUGUGGAAGUAGUCUAGUCGCCACUUUCACUUGUCGUUUCUUCACUUUCCUCUCAUUCUUCUUCAUUUUCACUUUCUUCCUCUUCUUGUUAUUCUUCAUUCCUUUCUUCCUCUUCAAUAUCUUAUGUAUGAACAUUAC
rnacentral:lncRNA from 1 species